UUAGUUUUCUCUCGGCCGCCGUCGCAUUCAGACCUAAAAUCGGUAUUUAUUAUUUUCUGAUUUCAUUUUGUAAAAACAUGUUUGUCCAUAUAAAGUAUUGGACAAACUAAUGAGCUUUUAGGAACUGACCCCUUUUUGGGGGUCAUCGGCAGCAAUCUGCCGUUGCCGGUUUGGGUUUAGGUGCGACGGCCGCCGGGGGAAAUCCUCGUAAAACAAGCACCUACGUAAAAAAUUAAAAAAAAUAGGAAAAUCCUAGCACUAAACAUCGGAAGCGGUCCUAGUUAUAGUUUCUCUUAAGGGGUCUCGCUGAAAUGUCUCUAAACAAUCUUUACAAAGGAGUUUGGAAACACAGAAGCAAUCCCUAAAUUGAAACAUAACAUCUACUAAAGGCCUGACACAUUUUACAAAGGGAUAAAGAUGGAACAAGCAAGAAAAUCUUCUUCAAAAAUCAAAGAAAACCCUGAUCAGACCUAUAGAGUUUUCAACCGCUUUCGUUGUUUUCAAAGCUAGACUGUAAAAUGUA